GUAUUCUAAUUAAUUCGACUCUACUGCUCAUCACGCCUUGUUGUCCCUCGUCAGCCACAGCACAGUAGGAGAUUUACAUAAUAGGACAAAAAGAUCUCACCUCGAGGUCCACUUGAGUGCCUCUAACGGAACUUUCAGUCAUAUCGAACGGACUUCAUCGUCAGGUGGAGUUUGUUAACUUGUCAUUUUACACAAAUGGGUCUGUUGGGGUCAGCACUAGCCGGUAGUGGUAAGUAACUUCUGCACAUUUUUAAAAUUUAUACCUUACUUUGAGGUUUCACAAAGAGCCUUAUUAGCCUUAUAAGUAUUAUAAUGUUAUUGGACCGCUGGGUCAGGCUCGAUGGUUCACUGAGCACCAGAACUCACUGUGGUGCCAAUGAGUAAGUGGUCAAGAGAAGGGAUGGGUUGUGUGUGUGUGUGUGUGUGUGUGUGUGUGUGUUUACCAAGGAGGCAGAGUUCCCCAUCGUGUGGACAUCAGGACGAUAGUUUAACUGCUGAGUCGUCUCCUAACAGAAGGCCCGUUGGCAGCUGCAGGCUCCUGACGUCUCCUGCUGGUUCCUUCACAGUGUGUUUGAGGAGUGGCUGCUGAAAACACACAGGCCCUCUGUGGAGUCAGUGUUUGGUUCGUCUGAAACCCGGUGGACUCUGCGGAUUCCUCUGAAGAUAUAAAAGGUUCGUUCUGAGGUAAUGAAAUACAAGAUUUCUUAGUUUCAGGUGGUUAAACACUAAUGAAAACAUAAUUAUUAAUAUUAUAUUGCGUUCCAACCCGCACACCAUAAACGGGAGCAAUAAUAAAUCCAGUCUUAUAAAGUCCUCUGUGCGGCAGCUCUGAUGAGCUGAUCACUGACGACCCAUGCCAGACAGAAAAGGAACAGUUCCGUGCUCUCUCUCCUUUCUCCGGUGUUUAACCCCAAAAGAGUCUUUGAAAAAGUAAUAUUGAGCAGUCAUGAAAAGGUGCGUAACUCAGUUUUAUUAAAAAGUGAGAAAGAGCCAUCAGAAUUCCAAUAAUACCGCAGUUUGACAUCAAUUAUUCAAAACGCGAGUCCAAUCAUCCAAUCUUUUGACAAUUUACAGAGAAUGGAUCCUAAGUGAUGCUCUUGAAUACGAGUCCGGACCGCUCCCUCAGAUGACUGAGUGUAAUGGAGCGGGACAUUGUUUUAGACGGCGCGCGGGGCUAAAUCUCUGCCAAACCGAUGGUUUAAAAAUGUUGAUUUAUCCGAGC
rnacentral:lncRNA from 1 species